UACGUAGGAGGCGAGCGUUGUCCGGAAUUACUGGGCGUAAAGUGUGCGCAGGCGGCCGCGCAAGUCGAGUGUGAAAGCCCCGGGCUUAACUUGGGAAUUGCGCUCGAAACUACGUGGCUGGAGUGUGGCAGAGGAAGGUGGAAUUCCAGGUGUAGCGGUGAAAUGCGUAGAGAUCUGGAGGAACACCGAUGGCGAAGGCAGCCUUCUGGGCCAACACUGACGCUCAUGCACGAAAGCGUGGGGAGCAAACAGG
rnacentral:rRNA from 1 species